GCCGGGUGUGGUGGCUCACACCUGUAAUCCUAGCACUUUGGGAGGCCGAGGCGGGUGGAUCACCUGAGGCCAGGAGUUCGAGACCAGCCUGGCCAACAUGGUGAAACCCUGUCUCUA
ensembl:misc_RNA Metazoa_SRP Metazoan signal recognition particle RNA